GCCUCUUCUUAGACCUGUGCAAUGCCUCUUUCAGGCACCGCUUCAGGGUGGGAACACAGCAGAGCACUUGAAUUUGGUGUGUGCCGCAGUCAUCUGAGAAGGGGUUUUU
rnacentral:SRP_RNA from 1 species